GGACGUUGCUCUCUACCCCGGGAACGUCGAGACUGGAGCGCCCGAACUGAGCCACCUUCGCGGACCCCGAGAGCGGCGGCGCGACUCACCGCGGAGGCGCCCGGACGCGUCAACCCCAGGGAUGCUCAGGAAAGCAGCCUUUCUUUAGGGCUGUCAUCUGUUCUGGGGAUCUGUUGCUGUUUCUUGGGCCCACAGAAUACACUCCACACCUCGGGACUCCAUAAUAUUGGACAAGGCUGGAAGGCCCAUUUGGCUCCUGCAGCCUCUUAUGCAGGAGGACCUCCUGAGGCUUCGGGCAGGAGCUGGUGCACACCUGGAGGAGAGUGCUGGUGAAUGGCAGGUGUGUGCCUCAGUGUCCUUGCUGCCAGGGUGUCAGCCCUGCUUCACCACUGGCCGUUUGUCUCUGUCCCCUCCACUGGCCUCUUGAAGCACAGAGACCCUCCGGGUACUUUCCUUCCUCUGGGCUUCCACUCAUGCUAUUCCCUGCUCCCUUUUUCUACCUGGAGACCCCCAUUCCUCCUCCUCCUCUGCUGCCCUCACCUCCACCUGGGCCCUCCCAGCUCCCGGGAGAUGGCUGAACCCCACUCCCCACCCGCUAGUCAUCCUCUUCAGCGGUCCUCCCAGAGCUGUCCUCAGCAUGGCAGCCUCCACAGCCCCUGGGUGUCACCCCCGGUUUCGUGUCUGCCUCGGACUCCAGACCUGCCCCUCCCAGGCUGGCCCAGAUGGAUCCUCUACAGUGACUAACCCAAACCAGCACCAGGCAGGGACCCAAUAAACCUUUGUGAAUGGA
rnacentral:lncRNA from 1 species